rnacentral:rRNA from 1 species
CAAUGAGGGUGAGAGUCCUGUUUGUCAUGUGCAGCCUUCUGUGCACGGUGUAUAUUUGCUGAGUCACACUCCUUGGCAUUGGAAUGCAAAGUGGGUGGUAAGUUUCAUGCAAAGGUAAAUAUGCAAUUGAGACUGAUAGCGCACAAGUACCAUGAGGGACAUAUGAAAAGGACUUUGAAAAGAGAAUUAAAUGAGUUUGUAUUUGCUAAACACAAAGUAAACAGACUUGAUUUCCUCAGUGAGAUUGUAGUGCUUGCUUAACAAUGGGUUUUGGCUGCAAGUGCAAUAAUUCUUGCUUUGUGUGCCAGUUUUUAUGUGGACAUUUGAUUACCUUUGCACAUGAAUGGUAAUUUUCCUGCGGGGUGUGGAUUGCAUAUGCAUGUAAUGAUUUGCAUGUUUGUUAAAUGUGUCUGGUGUAUUUGUUUGUGUCCUUGUCCUUGAGGUUGCUUUCUCCCUUGGGCUUACAUGCCCUGGCACACACAUUCUGGCAAAAUGCUUCUGCUUGACCCGUCUUGAAACACGGACCAAGGAGUCUAACAGAUGUGCAAGUUUGAAGGUGGUAUACCUGUGUGUGUAAUGAAAGUAUUGGCUGGGAUAUUUGCACCAGCAGCCGACUAAUUAGCAGACAGAGGUUUGAGUUGGAGCAUAUCUAUUAGGACCCGAAAGAUGGUGAACUAUGCUUGAACAGAAAGAAUUCAGAGGAAACUCUGAUGGAGGUUCGUAUCGAUACUGACGUGCAAAUCGUUCGUCAUAUUUGGGUAUAGGGGCGAAAGACUAAUCGAACCAUCUAGUAGCUGGUUCCCUCCGAAGUUUCCCUCAGGAUAGCUGGAGUUGCACAGUUUUAUCAGGUAAAGCGAAUGAUUAGAGGAAUUGGGGACAGAUGUGUCCUUGACCUAUUCUCAAACUUUAAAUGGGUAAUAUGUAGUGGUUGCUUGAUGGAACUUCUAAAAUGAAUGGCAAUAUUAGGUGGGCCAUUUUUGGUAAGCAGAACUGGCGAUGAGGGAUGAACCUAAUGCUGGGUUAAGGUGCUAAUUA